UUUACCACUUCCCCUCUGUCUGUCUAUCCUUCCUCCCAUUUCCAUUGAAAAUCCAACAGAGCUUCCAUUUCCGAUCUCUUUAACUGCCCUUUUAGUUUUUAUCAUUUUUUCCCCAUACCUCAUAGCCAAGCCGAACUCGCCGGGUUUUUUUAUUUAUACCUAACUAUACGUCUCCGGUCACCGGUUUAUUAACCGUAAGGUGUGGGAUUCUGUGAGCAAAUUGUAGUUGGAAGUUUGUUAUCUUAAUGAGUGAUGGUGUCAAGAUCGUGUGUGAAUAUUUUAGAUUUGGCUUCUGGGAAUCUGUUGGAAAUUCCUCAUACUCCAAGAUCUAUUCCUAGAGUGAUGACUGUCCCUGGAAUUAUCUCAGAUUUGGAUGGUUAUUGCAGUAAUGAUGGGGACUCAGAGAUUGCUUCAUCUAUUUGUCGUGAGCGGAAAAUUAUCGUGGCAAAUAUGUUACCUUUACAUGCUAAAAGGGAUCCAGGAACUGCCAAGUGGUGCUUCAGUUGGGAUGAAGAUUCGCUUUUAUUGCAACUAAAGGAUGGUUUUUCUCCUGAAACUGAGGUUAUUUAUGUGGGGUCUCUGAAGGUUGAUAUAGAUGCUAGUGAGCAGGAAGAAAUUUCCCAAAAACUGCUUGAGAAUUUCAACUGUGUCCCAACAUUUCUACCCCAAGACCUGCAGAAGAAGUUUUAUCUUGGAUUCUGUAAACAGCACUUAUGGCCUCUUUUUCACUACAUGUUGCCUAUUUGCCCAGACCAUGG
rnacentral:misc_RNA from 1 species